GCACUUUUUUUGUGUUGCUGGUUGAAUGAGACCAGCGCACAAAUGACACCUGUGAGCACUAUGGAAUUGUGGUAUUUGUGGUAGGGCGGCUCAUGAAGCUGGCCUUGCGGCCAGUGGUAGUGGUCUGUUCUGUCCAUGAAUUUUUCCUUUUAACCCCCAACAACCGAUAUUAAAAAACUGAAAAGACUGAACUUUUCUUGUAUAGCCUCUCUAACCAGAGGUGAAAGAGAAAACCUUGAUAUUCUAACCAAAGAAA
rnacentral:misc_RNA from 1 species